GGGCAGAUCUGGUGUGGACUGGAAUGCAGAAAACAUUGAAUGGAUAAAUCAGUGGAAUAAUGAAGCUCUACAAAAUAUAGUGCCUCAGCAACGAACGUACGAUGCAACUACGACAGAAGCGUACUAUAAUUGGUAUCGCAUGAGCACGCGUACUAGACUGACGAGUGAACCACCUACGAUGCCAACACAUCCAACGCAUAUGGAACAGUUGCAGAGACGGAUGGACACAUCAUCAGCUUACUAUCGUGACUCCGCGAUUGAUAUUUGCACCCAAGUACAAGCGAUGGCGAGGGAAGGAAUGCGAGCCCAGGGAAUUGAUCCUAAAGGCAGGUCCUUCUUUAAAAAAAUUAGCGAAUUCGUGAGCACAAGGUUUACGAGAUGCGGUACAGAGAACGACGUUGUCACUGCAGCGUACAACA